UACGGAGGGUGCAAGCGUUGUUCGGAAUCAUUGGGCGUAAAGCGCGCGCAGGCGGCGUGCCGAGUCUAUGGGUGAAAUGCCGGGGCUCAACCCCGUGCGUGCCCAGGAUACUGGCGUGCUGGAGACACGUAGAGGCAAGCGGAAUUUCGGGUGUAGCGGUGGAAUGCGUAGAUAUCCGAAAGAACACCGGAGGCGAAGGCGGCUUGCUGGGCGUGAUCUGACGCUGAGGCGCGAAAGCGUGGGGAGCGAACAGG
rnacentral:rRNA from 1 species